CACCUCUGUUUUUCCUAAUUUUUGUUUCUACGGAUGUAGUUUCUGUUGGAAAUUUUGAAUCCAAAUCUUUGGCGAUUUUCUAAUUGAUUUUGGAUUAGUUUAUUGUCAAUUUUUUUUACCUGCAUGUUCUACUUUAAGAUGCCUCAAAUUGAGAGGACUGGUUAAAAUUUAAUACGGAACUCCAUUAGUUUAGUUUGAUCGUGAUUCUAAAUUUCAAGAUGGAGCUUGUUAUAUUGAGAUGCUGAGAGUUUGUUUCCAUUUGUUAUCCGAGAAUAUUAAGCUUUACUCAUUAUUUUAGAUGCUAAAAGUUUGAAUUGAAGAAAUUGUGGAUUUGUUAUACCGCGUAUGCUCUCAUGUAUGGUGGUGCCCAGAAUUUUUUUGCCUUUCUUCACUGGUUUUAUACCUAUUACUUCUAAAUUUCUUUGAAUGCUUGUGCCUUUUUGCUUUAAUUUUAGUUUUUUACUCUUUCAGAUAAUCUCUUGCUAGAUAUAUACAUGCAUGUCAUUAUGCUUGAGCUGCACAUCAUCCCAUUUAGUGCCUUUUCCCCAUUUUUUCUUAUAAUUUGCUCUUUGAGUUUGCAGCUCACUCUACUUAAGCCUAAGAUACUUGCAAUGUUGCAGAGGUACAACUUUUUGUAGUUGACUUCGUACUCCAUCUGUUCACUUUUAUGAUAUAGAAAAGAAUGUUUUUCUUUGGAUUUGUGUUGUAAUCAGUGAAGCCAAAUGGCGAGAAAGUCCGGAGAAUCAGAUUCCAAAAUCAGAUUUUGGAAGACGAUGAGAUAAGCUUCACAUACAAAUUUAUCGGUGCAGACCAGAUUCAACUAGACAACACACAUAGAUCCUACUUAUUCACAAGCAAUGAAGUCAUCAACUGGGAAAAAAAAAAGAUAUACUUUCAAGCCAUACAUUGGGCAGCUUCUCCAGGUCAUCCACCCCUCUCAUCGUGAUUUCUGUUCACCAAAAGCACCAGCUACUAUGCGUUAAUCAUGUACAACAGAUAUAGUCGAAUAGACUAUUCUGCAUUUUGCUGAGGAAGUCAUCCAGAUAAACUCUAACAGUUCUAUCCUACAUAGAAAAGGAACAUGUUUUCCCGUCAAGCAUUAACUAGAGAAACGCUAAAAAGGUGAAGCCGCUCAUCACAAGCAAGGUGGAGAUAGUGCCAUCAGUUAUUGAAUCUGAAUCUUCACACCAACAAAAAAGUUUAUAAAAGGAAAUUCUACUUUAAAGUUUACAGACUAGCUUUCUGUUACAUAUGAAUAACAAGGCUCAAUCGGACAUAGAAGACGGUCUCCAUGUUCUAAGAUUGAGCGUCCGACAAACAAAAAAGAAGAAAUGAAGAAGAAUAUGGAAAACUGAUCUUGGCUAAAGGUUACUAACAGGACAAGCUUUACAAAGAGUUUAAUGAUUCUUUGUCAAAAUCUUAGCCUGUGACAGCAAUGCAGGGAGGACUUUUGAAUGGAUGGAUUUUUCUUUGCAUCAACUAUUGAAGAUUUAUUUAGUUUUCACGUUCCUCUUUAUUUAACUGGAACUACAGUGAUUACAAAAUUCCUUUUUUAUAUGUUGUUAUGUAUUAUGUAAUGACAAUUAAAAUGUUUUUGAUA